rnacentral:rRNA from 1 species
GACGAACGCUGGCGGCGUGCCUAAUACAUGCAAGUAGAACGCAGUUGCGAACGGGUGAGUAACGCGUAGGUAACUGCCUCAUAGCGGGGGUUAACUAUUGGAAACGAUAGCUAAUAACGCCUAUUUUGAGAUGGACCUGCGUUGUAUUAGGUAGUUGGUGAGGUAAAGGAUCACCAAGGCGACGAUACAUAGCCGACCUGAGAGGGGGAACGGCCACAAUGGGACUUGGAAACGGCCCAGACUCCCGCGGGGGGGAGCAGGAGGGAAACUUUGGGAAUUGACCGAAGUCUUAACCGACAACGGCGGGGGGUUGGAGGAAGGUUUCGGGGCGGAAAGCUCUGUUGGUAGGGAAGCGGUAACUAACCAGAAAGGGACGGCUAACUACGUGCCAGCCGCCGCGGUAAUUC